rnacentral:lncRNA from 1 species
UAUCAUCUGUCGACGCCCCUGCUAUGUAAAUGUUAAUGUAGGGAUUGCAACUACGCAUAAAAUACGCAAAAUCUCUUAAUGAGAGGAAAUCCCUGUAAUAUGAUUAUUAAAAGAAGAAGACUCGUCGAGAGUGAGAGAGACCUAGUAGCACUUCCAGCAAGACACACAGAAGAAAGAGAGAGGAAAAAGUGGGAGAGUUGAGUGCUAGUUCGCUUUUUUGCGUCAAACUACUGACAACACAAAGAGUUUUUUAAUAAAUAAAAUCAUUCUGGCGUAAUAGGGUGGGAGAACACGCUGCUGCGUGUCUAUUGUUGUCCGCGUGUUGUCUGUAUGAAGUUAGUUCUGAAACCCGCCCGAAUCUCACGAAGGGGGCAACAACACAGUAGUAAGACGGGAACUGAUGAAGACAACAUCCUUUAUUUUUCCCUUAAAUUUUGACAACAAUGAUCCUUAGUUGUUGUACAGUCUUUGUGGAUUGCUAGCCAAGAAGUUCAAAUUCAAAUAUUCUUCAUACAUAAAUAGUUUUACAAUAGAAACAACAACCUAAAAUUAAUGGAAUAAUGUCCUCAAAAUAUAAUCACCAAGCAUAUGAUUCUACAACCAUGAUGGUCGUCCAACCCUCCUUCCCCUUCGAAAUUCAAAAUGGCAUGGGCUCAGUUACCUCUUAUGUUCCGUCUGGUCCUUCUUCAAAGAAAGCUCCUGUUGAAAAUCUAAGUGAUCAACUUCAAAGAUCUUUGUCCUUAAAUGAAAACAAAAAGGAAAUGAGCCCUCCUUCUCGAGGGACGCAAUGCGACCCUAUAUAUAUGAGCACAAUGGCAUCUCAUUUCACUCCUCAACAGAACAUGGAUCGAUGUUCCUGCCAAAGAUGGUACUGAACAUGGUUCUUCUUUAUCCUUCUCAAAUUAUGUUGCUUCGAUAUUGACCUAGAAUCAAAAUUAU